GAUGAACGCUGGCGGCAGGCCUAACACAUGCAAGUCGAACGAGUGGCGGACGGGUGAGUAAUGUCUGGGAAACUUGCUUAUGGAGGGGGAUAACUACGGGAAACUGUAGCUAAUACCGCGUACCAUAGGAUGUGCCCAAGUGGGAUUAGGUAGUUGGUGGGGUAACGGCUCACCAAGCCGACGAUCUCUAGCUGGUCUGAGAGGAUGACCAGCCACACUGGAACUGAGACACGGCCCAGACUCCUACGGGAGGCAGCAGUGGGGAAUAUUGCGCAAUGGGGGCAACCCUGACGCAGCCAUGCCGCGUGAGUGAUGAAGGUCUUCGGAUCGUAAAACUCUGUUAUUAGGGAAGCGGUACCUAAUCAGAAAGCCACGGCUAACUACGUGCCAGCCGCCGCGGUAAUUC
rnacentral:rRNA from 1 species